GACGUAGGGCGCGAGCGUUGUCCGGAAUUAUUGGGCGUAAAGGGCUCGUAGGCGGUUUGUCGCGUCGGGAGUGAAAUCCACUGGCUUAACUGGUGGCUUGCUUCGAUACGGGCAGACUGGAGGUAUGCAGGGGAGAACGGAAUUCCUGGUGUAGCGGUGAAAUGCGCAGAUAUCAGGAGGAACACCGGUGGCGAAGGCGGUUCUCUGGGCAUGUCCUGACGCUGAGGAGCGAAAGUGUGGGAGCGAACAGG
rnacentral:rRNA from 1 species